rnacentral:sRNA from 2 species
CACAGGUUAUGCCAGUUAUCAGGUUUUUGAGAAAAGCAACAUGCUUCGAUUAUAACUACACUGCAAUAAAUAGUAUUGCAACGGUAUGCCCCUGUUGGUGGGCACUACUGGCAGGAAGCCAGCCCUGUAUGGUCUUUUUGGCCUAGGUGGUCAGUGCUGUUUUGCCCGUCCAGUACAGGCCGUUUAUCCUCGUUUAUUGUCAGUGAUACAUUAUUAUGGGUUUACCAGCGGAUGGGUUAACUGCUGGGUCUGAAUGAGGCUCGCUUCACCUGCAAACGGCCGCUUCAAUAUACACCGCCGCCUGGUACUCUCCGCGGUGGGAUUCACUUAUGUUUCGUAUACCAUCUAGUUAAACAGGGCCAUGACCUGGACGGAAGUUUUUUGCCAGGUAAACUAUAUGUUGCGGAAAAGUGGUUUAACUAGCCAGUGCCGGGUGAUGACCAGUGUUGAUGUGAAGCUUUGGAAGACAAUGCUAGCAUUCACCUAAUUCUAGUAGCAGCUAAAACUCUCCAUGCCUCGUUCGUUCCCGUUUAUGUAAAGCCCCCAUUCAUUCCUUACAAACAGUUAAACAGAAAAAAUACCUAAAACAGAACUAUAUAUUGAAAAAAAAAAAAAAAAGGUAGGAAAAUGGAUCUCUGGUUAGCUGAUCUUGCAAGCCGUUUCCCUACCCCUCUCUCCCCUUGGCUAAGUUGUAUAAAAAUAAAAAGCCAAUACAAAAGCCGCCGUCCUCAACCAACCUCCAUAUCACCCCAACCC